rnacentral:rRNA from 1 species
UGAGGAAUAUUGGUCAAUGGGUGCAAGCCUGAACCAGCCAUCCCGCGUGAAGGACGACUGCCCUAUGGGUUGUAAACUUCUUUUGUAUAGGGAUAAACCUACCCUCGUGAGGGUAGCUGAAGGUACUAUACGAAUAAGCACCGGCUAACUCCGUGCCAGCAGCCGCGGUAAUAAUCA